ensembl:lncRNA
CAUAUCUUUAAUGUUACUUAUAUUUCUGUGAAAAAUAUUUUUAGUACUUACCAGAAUUGUUUGCACUAUAAUGGAUUAUUUUUUUCCAUUUAAAAACACUAAAACACUCUGUUUGUCUCAUUUGCAGUGCAAUUUGGAAAAUGCAGGAAGGAUAUUGCAACGUUCUCACAUAUGUCCCGUACUCAUUUUCCUGCAGAGUAUUGGAAAUCUGUUUCAAAAUCUGUUGCUUUGGCUGACCUUUGGGAAGGCUCCAUUGGUGUGUUCUGGAUUCUCUGGAACUUACUCAGUGUGA